rfam:Mustela putorius furo unplaced genomic scaffold scaffold00135, whole genome shotgun sequence.
GUCUACGGCCGUACCACCAGGAACGCGCCCAAUCUCGUCUGAUCUUGGAAGCUAAGCAGGGUCGGACCUGGUUAGUACUUGGAUGGGAGAAGGUCUUUAUUUAUCCUCCACUUCUGGAGGUUACUGUCACUGGUU